AUGGUCUCCGGCGACGACGGUGCUGCCGCCGGCAGUUUCGAGAAGCGGUGGGGGCGCGGGAACUUCGUCCGCUUGAGGAUCUCGGCCACGUCACUGUUCCGGCGCACCUCGUCGCCGUCCUUCUCGCCGGACGCCAGGUGCGUGCACACGAAGCACAGGCUCGUCGACGCCGCCUCCGAGCUGCCACCUUGCAGCGUCAGGCUGAUCGAGAUGGACCCCUAUCACAUAUCCGCAACCAUUUCAGCAACAACUUUUCUGAAUAUCAACUCGCACAAAUUAAAUUUGCAAAAUUUCAUGAUUCUAUUAUUUGCGGAAAUUCACCUUGUUUCCCAUGUACCCCAUGAUGCCCCUGCCAACACAAGAGACCCUGAGCCCGGUGACACGUGGCAUAACAUCCGCCCGGACCCACACGCAGAGGAAGAUGCCCACCAUCUGCUUGCUAGCAGCCAGUCGGUAUCCAUGACUCGCCCUCUCUCGCAACAUCGUCGCAAACUCACUCGUCUCCUCCUCGCUGCUCGACUCUGGGUUCGACGUGGAAGGCUCGCUAUCCUCCUCCCCCUCCUCCUCCUCCUCCUCAAGCUCUGA
rnacentral:rRNA from 1 species